rnacentral:rRNA from 1 species
CCAGACUCCUACGGGAGGCAGCAGUAGGGAAUAUUGCUCAAUGGGGGAAACCCUGAAGCAGCAACGCCGCGUGGAGGAUGAAGGUUUUCGGAUUGUAAACUCCUUUUGUUAGAGAAGAUAAUGACGGUAUCUAACGAAUAAGCACCGGCUAACUCCGUGCCAGCAGCCGCGGUAAUACGUAGGUGGCAAGCGUUGUCCGGAUUUACUGGGUGUAAAGGGCGUGUAGCCGGGUUGACAAGUCAGAUGUGAAAUCCUGCGGCUUAACCGCAGAACUGCAUUUGAAACUGUUAUUCUAGAGUAUGGGAGAGGUAGGUGGAAUUCUUGGUGUAGGGGUAAAAUCCGUAGAGAUCAAGAGGAAUACUCAUUGCGAAGGCGACCUGCUAGAACAUAACUGACGCUGAUGCGCGAAAGCGUGGGGAGCAAACAGGAUUAGAUACCCUCGUAGA